rnacentral:lncRNA from 1 species
GGGGAGGUGAGUGUCAGUCCCAAGGUUGCAGACCUAGGACAGGGACCAGAGCUCCCGGGCUCCCAGAACUCUGUCGCCUUCAACCCAAAUUCGAUUCAGUCCUCUCAUCCUUCCAAAUAGAAAGCUGACACGAACCGAUCGGAAGCUUUUUUUUUUUUUUUUCAAUAACUAUGCUACCCAGCAGAUUCUCUGGGGAGAGUCCUCAGAGUCCUUGAAAACCCCACUGGGGUUUAAUGCCAGGAUAAGAAGAGCGUAGAAGAAAGAGACAGCUAGUAUUUUAAUAUAUAAAUCUGUUUGCAUAAUAUUUCCUAGGUAAACUAUUCGCUGAUCCAACCAAAAUUCGGCGGGGCUGGGGUGUAUCGUUAUUGAGGACGACUCGCUCUAGGGGAGAACCCGGACGCAUUUUUCCAUCAGAGUUCCCUCUAUAAAUCAAAACCUCAAAAGAAGAGUUAACGACGACACCCAGGAGUCUACAGUAUCCAGGGGUCGGUCCAGGAGAGGUCCCUGGCCACCUGGCGCAGAGCUCGCGGCCGCAGACUCCCAUUGACGGCCCAGCACCGGAGCGCGCGGGCCGAGCUGCCCCAGACCCGGCGCAGCGCCUCGGGGAGGCCGUCUGCAAAGUCCGGGCCGCCACUCGGGACCGCGGACCGGGCCAGAGGAGAGACGUCGGAGAAGAGGGAAGAGGACGCGGGGUGGGAAAAGCCGGGGCCGCGGGAUGCCCAGGACCCAGUCAGCGGCGGGAGCAAGAAAAACAGGCGGGGUUUCAAUGUCAACCAAGGCAUAGGGAGGUUAACAAACACCCCUGAAAACAAAACACACAGAAAAUACAUCCCAGAGGAUGUUGCGAAUCAUCCGCUCAAUGGUUCUUCUUCUUCGCAUAAUUUUUCGAGUUGAAAAUUAUUAUUAUUUUCCUGCAAUAAGUUGAAGAUUGGAAAGCUCUGGAUGCCAAUUCUGGUUCUUCCCUUACUUAACUGGCCGUUUGACCUCCACAAACCUGUUUACUCAUCGUAAAGGAAAGGGGUAGACCAAAUGGUUUAUAAUGUCUCUCCCAAUUCUAGGAAUUCCAUGCUCUUAAUUAUUUUAAUCAUUUUCUAAUAAAGCAUGAAAAUUGUUUACUCUUGGCCAUACAGUUAUUUUCCUUAGAUGUUGUUUACAGUACAAUAAUUCUUUCCCCCAGGACAUGGCCGAAACUUUAGAAGUGUCUACUGUGGUGCAGCCACUAUAGGAAACACUAUAGAGGUUUCUCGAAAAAUUAAAAAAAAAUAUGGUCCAGCAAUUCCAUUUCUGGUCAUGUAGCCAAAAGAAUUGAAAGCAGGGUUUUGAAGAGAUGUCUGUACACCCAUGUUUAAAGCAGCAUUAUUCACAGUAGCCAAAAGGUAGAAGCAACCCAUGUCCACAACAGAUGAAUGAUGAACAAAAAUGCAGUAUAUACAUACGACUAUUUUCCAGCUUCAAAAAGGAGGGAAAUUCUGAUACAUGCUAAAAUAUGGAUGAAUCUUGACGACAUUAUGCUAAGUGAAAUAAGCUAGUCCCGAAACAUACAAUGCUGUAUCCCAUUACGAAUUCAUAAAGACAGAAAGUAGAAUGGUGGUUACCAUGGGCUGGGGGCAGGGGGAAAUGGGGAGCCAGUGUUUAUUGGAUACAGAGUUUCAGUUUUGCAAGAUGAACAGAGUUCUGGAGACUGGUUGCUCAACAAUGUGAAUGUACUUAACGCUACUAAACUGUACACUUAAAAAUAGCUAAGGCCCGGUGCGGUGGUUCCUGCCUGUAAUCCUAGCACUUUGGGAGGCCGAAGGGGGCAGAUCACCUGAGGUCAGCAGUUCAAGAUCAGCCUAGCCAACAUGGUGAAACCCCAUCUCUACAAAAAUACAACAAUUAGCCAGGCGUAGUGGUGCAUGCCUGUAAUCCCAGCUACCUGGGAGGUUGAGGCAGGAGAAUCUCUGGAACCCGGGAGGCAGAGGCUGCAGUGAGCUGAGUUUGCACCACUGCACUCCAUCCAGCCUGGGUGACAGAGCCAGACUCUGUCUCAAAAAAAAAAAAAAAAAAAAAGAAAGGUUAAGAUGGUAAAUUUUAUGUAUGUGUAUUUUACCUCAAUUUUAAAUUUUUAAAGUUUUUGUGUAGCUGCUGAGGGUUUAAAAAUUUUGUUAAAGAGUUUGGUGUCUACCUUAGGUCAGAAACAGCAAUGAAGGAAGAAGGCCUGAAAUAAGUGAAACAUGAGGAGACAAGGCAAUGAAACGGGCUGGUUAUGGGGAGAAAAGUGAGCUUCCAAUGGCCAAGACCUAACACACUACCUUUUAUUUAAAGCUUGAUUGCUGUCUUAAAGGAAACUGAUUGGCUGGGCGCUGUGGCUCACGCCUGUAAUCCCAGCACUUUGGGAGGCCAAAGCGGGUGGAUCAUUUGAGGUCAGAAGUUGGAGACCAGCCUAACCAACAUGGUGAAACCCUGUCUCUACCAAAAAUACAAAAAGUAGCUGGGUGUGAUGGCACGCGCCUAUAGUUCCAGCUACUCGGGAGGCUGAGGCAGGGGAAUUGCUUGAACCCAGGAAGCGGAUGUUGCAGUGAACUGAGAUCAUGCCACUGCACUCCAGCCUGGGCAACAGAGCAAGACUUGGUCUUAAAAAAAAAAAAAAAACGAAAUUUGGCCUGGCGCAGUGGCUCACGCUUGUAAUCCCAGCACUUUGGGAAGCCAAGGAAGGUGGAUCAUGAGGUAAGGAGUUCAAGACCAGCCUGGCCAAGAUGGUGAAACCCCGUCUUUACUAAAAAUACAAAAAAUUAGCCGGGCGUGGUGGCACGUGCCUGUAAUCUCAGCUACUUAGGAGGCUGAGGCAGAGAAUUGCUUAAACCUGGGGAGUGGAGGUUGCAAUGAGCCAAGAUAGCGCCACUGCACUCCAGCCUGGGUGACAGAGGGAGACACCAUCUCAAAAAAAUAAAUAAAAUUUAAAAACUAAAAAAAAAAAAAAAAGAAAAGAAAAGAAACUGAUUGUUAUACAUUUGCAGAACAUCAGCUUGAGUGCAGCAGUAUUCAGGAUACAAAAUCAUAAAGAUACUGCUGUUUUGUCCAAGAAUCUUGGACACAAGGCAGAGAUCUCCAUGAAAAGGGUGUUGGUGAGAGAGGAGAAGUUAGGAAUGGUUUCUUUUUUUCUGAGACGGAGUCUUGCUCUGUCGCCCAGGCUAGAGUGCAGUGGCGCAAUCUCGGCUCACUACAACAUCUGCUUCCCAGGUUCAAGCAAUUCCCCUGCCUCAGCCCCCUGAGUAGCUGGGAUUACAGGCGCACGCCACUGCGCCCGGCUAAGUUUGUAUUUUUAGUAGAGAAAGGUUUCACUAUCUUGGCCAGGCUGGUCUCAAACUCCUGACCUCGUGAUCCACCCGCCUUGGCCUCCCAAAGUGCUGGGAUUACAGGUGUGAGUCACCACGGCCAGUCAGGAAUGGCUUCUAUGCACACUUGAUUUUCCAUGGAAAUUGGUGGAAAAAAUAAUUCUAGAAAGAGCAAAUCUUAUAGACUGAAAUAUUUUGGAGUAUGAGGUAUAGGCUAACAGAAGGUGAAG